CUGGGUUUGUUUUUGGGGGGUAAAAGUUCCCCCUGGGGCCGUUUCCAAUGUUGGAAGAGUUCCCCCCGGGGAUUGGACCCCGCCCCCUAUUUCUACGGGGGGCAGCCGUGGGGAAUUUUCCCCAAUGGGGCCAAGCCUGAUGCAGCCAUACUGGGUUCUGACGAAGGCCUUAGGGUGUAAAGUACUUUCAGCGGGGAGGAAGGUGAUAAGGUUAAUACCCUUUUCAAUUGACGUUACCCGCAGAAGAAGCACCGGAUAACUAUGUGCCAGCAGCCGCGGUAAUACGGAGGGUGCAAGCGUUAUUCGGAAUUACUGGGGGUAUAGCGCACGCAGACGGUCAAUUAAGUCGAUGUGAAAGCCCCGAGCUUAACUUGGGAAUUGCAUCUGAAACUGCUUGGCUAGAGUCUUGUAGAGGGGGGUAGAAUUCCAUGUGUAGCGGUGAAAUGCGUAGAGAUGUGGAGGAAUACCUGUGGCGAAGGCGGCCCCGUGGACAAAGACUGACGCUCAGGUGCGAAAGCGUGCGGAGCAAACAGGAUUAGAUACCCUGGUAGUCCACGCUGUAAUCGAUGUCGAUUUAGAGGUUGUGGUCUUGAACCGUGGCUUCUGGAGCUAACGCGUUAAAUCGACCGCCUGGGGAGUACGGCCGCAAGGUUAAAACUCAAAUGAAUUGACGGGGGCCCGCACAAGCGGUGGAGCAUGUGGUUUAAUUCGAUGCAACGCGAAGAACCUUACCUACUCUUGACAUCCAGCGAAUCCUUUAGAGAUAGAGGAGUGCCUUCGGGAACGCUGAGACAGGUGCUGCAUGGCUGUCGUCAGCUCGUGUUGUGAAAUGUUGGGUUAAGUCCCGCAACGAGCGCAACCCUUAUCCUUUGUUGCCAGCACGUCAUGGUGGGAACUCAAAGGAGACUGCCGGUGAUAAACCGGAGGAAGGUGGGGAUGACGUCAAGUCAUCAUGGCCCUUACGAGUAGGGCUACACACGUGCUACAAUGGCAGAUACAAAGAGAAGCGACCUCGCGAGAGCAAGCGGAACUCAUAAAGUCUGUCGUAGUCCGGAUUGGAGUCUGCAACUCGACUCCAUGAAGUCGGAAUCGCUAGUAAUCGUAGAUCAGAAUGCUACGGUGAAUACGUUCCCGGGCCUUGUACACACCGCCCGUCACACCAUGGGAGUGGGUUAGCAAAGAGAAGUAGGUAGCUUAACCUUCGGCGAGGGCGCUUACCCUUUUGUCCGGG
rnacentral:rRNA from 1 species